rnacentral:rRNA from 1 species
CCCUGGCAGUCAGAGGCGAUGAAGGGCGUGCUAAUCUGCGAUAAGCGCCGGUAAGGUGAUAUGAACCGUUAUAACCGGCGAUACCCGAAUGGGGAAACCCAGUGUGAUUCGUCACACUAUCAUUAACUGAAUCCAUAGGUUAAUGAGGCGAACCGGGGGAACUGAAACAUCUAAGUACCCCGAGGAAAAGAAAUCAACCGAGAUUCCCCCAGUAGCGGCGAGCGAACGGGGAGGAGCCCAGAGCCUGAAUCAGCAUGUGUGUUAGUGGAAGCGUCUGGAAAGGCGCGCGAUACAGGGUGACAGCCCCGUACACAAAAGCGCAUGUGCUGUGAGCUCGAUGAGUAGGGCGGGACACGUGGUAUCCUGUCUGAAUAUGGGGGGACCAUCCUCCAAGGCUAAAUACUCCUGACUGACCGAUAGUGAACCAGUACCGUGAGGGAAAGGCGAAAAGAACCCCGGCGAGGGGAGUGAAAAAGAACCUGAAACCGUGUACGUACAAGCAGUGGGAGCNNNNNNNNNNNNNNNNNNNNNNNNNNNNNNNNNNNNNNNNNNNNNNNNNNNNNNNNNNNGGGCGUUAAGUUGCAGGGUAUAGACCCGAAACCCGGUGAUCUAGCCAUGGGCAGGUUGAAGGUUGGGUAACACUAACUGGAGGACCGAACCGACUAAUGUUGAAAAAUUAGCGGAUGACCUGUGGCUGGGGGUGAAAGGCCAAUCAAACCGGGAGAUAGCUGGUUCUCCCCGAAAGCUAUUUAGGUAGCGCCUCGUGAAUUCAUCUCCGGGGGUAGAGCACUGUUUCGGCUAGGGGGCCAUCCCGGCUUACCAACCCGAUGCAAACUGCGAAUACCGGAGAAUGUUAUCACGGGAGACACACGGCGGGUGCUAACGUCCGUCGUGAAGAGGGAAACAACCCAGACCGCCAGCUAAGGUCCCAAAGUCAUGGUUAAGUGGGAAACGAUGUGGGAAGGCCCAGACAGCCAGGAUGUUGGCUUAGAAGCAGCCAUCAUUUAAAGAAAGCGUAAUAGCUCACUGGUCGAGUCGGCCUGCGCGGAAGAUGUAACGGGGCUAAACCAUGCACCGAAGCUGCGGCAGCGANNNNNNNNNNNNNNNNNNNNNNNNNNNNNNNNNNNNNNNNNNNNNNNNNNNNNNNNNNNNNNNNUGCUGGAGGUAUCAGAAGUGCGAAUGCUGACAUAAGUAACGAUAAAGCGGGUGAAAAGCCCGCUCGCCGGAAGACCAAGGGUUCCUGUCCAACGUUAAUCGGGGCAGGGUGAGUCGACCCCUAAGGCGAGGCCGAAAGGCGUAGUCGAUGGGAAACGGGUUAAUAUUCCCGUACUUGGUGUUACUGCGAAGGGGGGACGGAGAAGGCUAUGUUGGCCGGGCGACGGUUGUCCCGGUUUAAGCGUGUAGGUGUGUGUUCCAGGUAAAUCCGGUUCACUUUAACACUGAGGCGUGACGACGAGGCACUACGGUGCUGAAGCAACAAAUGCCCUGCUUCCAGGAAAAGCCUCUAAGCAUCAGGUAACACGAAAUCGUACCCCAAACCGACACAGGUGGUCAGGUAGAGAAUACCAAGGCGCUUGAGAGAACUCGGGUGAAGGAACUAGGCAAAAUGGUGCCGUAACUUCGGGAGAAGGCACGCUGACACGUAGGUGAAGUGAUUUACUCAUGGAGCUGAAGUCAGUCGAAGAUACCAGCUGGCUGCAACUGUUUAUUAAAAACACAGCACUGUGCAAACACGAAAGUGGACGUAUACGGUGUGACGCCUGCCCGGUGCCGGAAGGUUAAUUGAUGGGGUCAGCGCAAGCGAAGCUCCUGAUCGAAGCCCCGGUAAACGGCGGCCGUAACUAUAACGGUCCUAAGGUAGCGAAAUUCCUUGUCGGGUAAGUUCCGACCUGCACGAAUGGCGUAAUGAUGGCCAGGCUGUCUCCACCCGAGACUCAGUGAAAUUGAACUCGCUGUGAAGAUGCAGUGUACCCGCGGCAAGACGGAAAGACCCCGUGAACCUUUACUAUAGCUUGACACUGAACAUUGAGCCUUGAUGUGUAGGAUAGGUGGGAGGCUUUGAAGUGUGGACGCCAGUCUGCAUGGAGCCGACCUUGAAAUACCACCCUUUAAUGUUUGAUGUUCUAACGUGGACCCGUAAUCCGGGUUGCGGACAGUGUCUGGUGGGUAGUUUGACUGGGGCGGUCUCCUCCUAAAGAGUAACGGAGGAGCACGAAGGUUGGCUAAUCCUGGUCGGACAUCAGGAGGUUAGUGCAAUGGCAUAAGCCAGCUUGACUGCGAGCGUGACGGCGCGAGCAGGUGCGAAAGCAGGUCAUAGUGAUCCGGUGGUUCUGAAUGGAAGGGCCAUCGCUCAACGGAUAAAAGGUACUCCGGGGAUAACAGGCUGAUACCGCCCAAGAGUUCAUAUCGACGGCGGUGUUUGGCACCUCGAUGUCGGCUCAUCACAUCCUGGGGCUGAAGUAGGUCCCAAGGGUAUGGCUGUUCGCCAUUUAAAGUGGUACGCGAGCUGGGUUUAGAACGUCGUGAGACAGUUCGGUCCCUAUCUGCCGUGGGCGCUGGAGAACUGAGGGGGGCUGCUCCUAGUACGAGAGGACCGGAGUGGACGCAUCACUGGUGUUCGGGUUGUCAUGCCAAUGGCACUGCCCGGUAGCUAAAUGCGGAAGAGAUAAGUGCUGAAAGCAUCUAAGCACGAAACUUGCCCCGAGAUGAGUUCUCCCUGAGACUU